rnacentral:rRNA from 1 species
UACGUAGGGGGCAAGCGUUGUCCGGAUUUAUUGGGCGUAAAGAGCGUGUAGGCGGCCAGGUAGGUCGGUUGUGAAAACUGGAGGCUCAACCUUCAGAGGUCGACCGAAACCAUCUGGCUAGAGUCCGGGAGAGGAGAGUGGAAUUCCUGGUGUAGCGGUGAAAUGCGCAGAUAUCAGGAAGAACACCCGUGGCGAAGGCGGCUCUCUGGGACGUGACUGACGCUGAGACGCGAAAGCGUGGGGAGCGAACAGG